rnacentral:rRNA from 1 species
GAUGAACGCUGGCGGCAUGCCUAAUACAUGCAAGUCGAACGAGAGGAAGGAAAGCUUGCUUUUCUGAAUCUAGUGGCGAACGGGUGAGUAACACGUAGAUAACCUGCCCAUGUGCCCGGGAUAACUUCUGGAAACGGAUGCUAAAACCGGAUAGGUAGCAGACAAGCAUUUGACUGCUAUUAAUGUGGCUAAGGCCAUGAACAUGGAUGGACCUGCGGUGCAUUAGCUAGUUGGUGAGGUAACGGACCACCAAGGCGACGAUGCAUAGCCGGCCUGAGGGGGCGGACGGCCACAUUGGGACUGAGACACGGCCCAAACUCCUACGGGAGGCAGCAGUAGGGAAUUUUCGUCAAUGGGGGAACCCUGAACGAGCAAUGCCGCGUGAGUGAGGAAGGUCUUCGGAUCGUAAAGCUCUGUUGUAAGAGAAAAACGACAUUCAUAGGGAAUGAUGAGUGAGUGAUGGUAUCUUACCAGAAAGUCACGGCUAACUACGUGCCAGCAGCCGCAGUAA